AACGAACGCCGGCGGCAGGCUUAACACAUGCAAGUCGAGCGCCCCGCAAGGGGGGCGGCAGACGGGUGAGUAACGCGUGGGAAUCUACCCAUCUCUACGGAAUAACGCAUGGAAACGUGUGCUAAUACCGUAUACGUCCUUCGGGAGAAAGAUUUAUCGGAGAUGGAUGAGCCCGCGUUGGAUUAGCUAGUUGGUGGGGUAAAGGCCUACCAAGGCGACGAUCCAUAGCUGGUCUGAGAGGAUGAUCAGCCACACUGGGACUGAGACACGGCCCAGACUCCUACGGGAGGCAGCAGUGGGGAAAAUUGGACAAUGGGCGCAAGCCUGAUCCAGCCAUGCCGCGUGAGUGAUGAAGGCCCUAGGGUUGUAAAGCUCUUUCACCGGUGAAGAUAAUGACGGUAACCGGAGAAGAAGCCCCGGCUAACUUCGUGCCAGCAGCCGCCGUAAAAC
rnacentral:rRNA from 1 species